AUUGAGUGUCACUUUCUAUUGAGUGUGGGAUGUGAACUACUUACUACCUUCAAAGGGACGCAGUGAGAAGAACUCAUUUCCCCAGGCUUCCAGAAUACAUUGGAAGAUUUGUGUGUGUGUGUACCGGGGACUGAACUCAUCACCUUGCAAGGCAAGCAUGCUGCCACUGGGCUAAGCCCUGGCCCUUACAUUGGAGC
rnacentral:lncRNA from 1 species